UUAAAUAGGUACCUAGGUAUUAUAUAUAAUGGCUGAAUUUCAUACAUUGCCGAUAACAUAUAUAACCUGAUAUACUCAUCUCAUCUGAGGAAAUUAUUUUGUAUCUAAUAAAAUAACACAUCUAAACAAGUUUGUGAAAUGUGUCCCCAGGUUUUAGUGUGAGAGGGACAUGGGGAAAAGAUAGUUGUGUGGGCUUCGUUUAUUUCAUUCUUUUUUAAUUUUAUUUUUGAUCCUUCUUAGGAAAAUAAAAUGCGGCCUUUCUAAAAUAAGUGGUUUUUUUUUUCAGAAAAGAAUGUUUCAUUUCAAGACUUAUAGCCUUUUUUUAGUAAAUUGUGUCCAAAUGUCAUUUAAUGACUUUUCUUUUAGAAAAUAAUAAUUAUUUCUAUUUUUUUAAAGGUUCUGUUCUAUACUAUUCCUUCUAUUCAUAUGGUAUUUUUAUACAAUUUUUUUUUUUACCAAAUAAUAUCUAAGAGGAGACUUUUAUUAAGAGUGGGUCCUGGGAUCAAGUGUUACCCAUAAAAUGUACAAGUUACAACUUGUACACAAUAUAUAUGUUGCGUACAAGUUGCAACUAAGUACUGUAACUGAUUGAACAAAGAAGAAAUAAACUUGAGUGACAUCAUCAAGGACCUAACUUUAUAAGCUUUAGGUCUGAUAUGCAGGACUGAACUGUACCGGAUCGAGACUGCAGUUUUCAGUCAUAAAUAAGGACGGACACAUCACUAGUUGAAAGUACUUACUAUUUACUCUUCUAUUUAAUAGGGAGUACUUUAGAACACCCUACAUUAACGCUAUUCGGAUCAUGUUUAGCAAAUAAGAGCUAGUCGAUUUUAUUUAGUUAUUUCUUAUGGCAUAAAUUCUUUCGAAUUACGAGCUCCGUCCAGAAACGAUUUAACCUCGUAUAUCAAGGAAUUAUUGCUGUACCUAUAUAAAAAUGAAAUAAGGAAUUACCUGGGCUGGAACCUACGCACAUUGAGUUCAAGAAAAUAAUUUCUCCCGAGGAGGUUGUCAUCUAUGAGCUACGGCGAUUCCUCUGUCAUUUUCAUUUAAUUUCAUUAAAACGUUAUAGAGCAAGAUGAGUCCCAAAAAAAAACGUAGGAUUGACAAUUUUCACCUAAAUCAUAGUAGAGGAAUUGCUAGAAAUUACGUCCAGGAGCAUUUCAGUACGUUCCAAUGUUCCCUGCACCUAUAUAUGAUACCAGUAUAAUUUAAUCAAACUAAAUGUACAAAAAAAAUAGUUGAAUUGUGUAUUUCAUCUCUUGGCAUGCCCCCAGACACUUAAAAUUAUGUGUCCAGUAUUUCACGUAUCGUUAAAGGGAUUUAUAAAAGAUAAAAAUGGUUUACUUCUUCUUCUGUUAUGAAAAAUUUCAGUAACGCUUGUGAUGAACAGGUUAAAUUUACGAAGAAACAAGAUGUUCUUUCGAUGCGUUCCAUCAAAGGUAUAUUACUAUCAUGGAUAGCGAUUGUAAAGCUGACUUCGUUGAGUCUAAAAUACUAGCUGCACAGCAGUUAUUAUUAGAGUUAAAACAUAUAGAAUGUAGAACAAUUAAGAGACCAUUGGUAGACCAUUACAUCACUCAAGGUAAUACGAAAAAUAAAUUACUAGAUGUUAAAACUUUAUUAUUUAAGACACAAAAAGAGUUCAAGAUAAACUUAUCUUCACUCAUAGAAACAAAUUCUUAUAUUGAGAAGUUGGAGAAAUAAAAAAUUAAAAAGAUCGAUUGGUCAUUAAUUAGGGUAAAAAUGGAGAAGCUCAAAAAGUUAACGUUUCCUUGGAUUAUAAAAUACUCAACAUCAACGUCUUUGCAUACAGAUAAAAGUAUAUAAUUAUGUUAUUAACAAAUUACCAAUAUCUCAUAUCAAUCCAAUAUUAAUUCACUAAGUAUUAAUUCCUUAAACGACGUACAUUCAAAAUUAUGCUCAUCCACCUUGAGGGUCAGCUAAAUCAUGUAGAAUAAACGAUGGAGCAACUUUGUAAUAUUAAUGCUCAUUUCAUUUCAUAUUUAACUAUAAAAUAUUGAAUAUAAUAAAGACUAUAAUGUGUUGAUUUUA
rnacentral:lncRNA from 1 species